rnacentral:rRNA from 1 species
UACGGAAGGCAGCAGUGGGGAAUAUUGCACAAUGGGCGAAAGCCUGAUGCAGCUAUGCCGCGUGUAUGAAGAAGGCCUUAGGGUUGUAAAGUACUUUCAUCGGGGAGGAAAAAACAAAACUAAUAAUUUUAUUUCUUGACGUUACCCGAAAAAGAAGCACCGGCUAACUCCGUGCCAGCAGCCGCGGUAAUACGGAGGGUGCUAGCGUUAAUCAGAAUUACUGGGCGUAAAGAGCACGUAGGUGGUUUUUUUAAGUCAGAUGUGAAAUCCCUGGGCUUAACCUAGGAACUGCAUUUUGAAACUGAAAUACUAGAGUAUCGUAGAGGGAGGUAGAAUUCUAGGUGUAGCGGUGAAAUGCGUAGAUAUCUGGAGGAAUACCUGUGGCGAAAGCGGCCUCCUAAACGAAUACUGACACUGAGGUGCGAAAGCGUGGGGAGCAAAC